rnacentral:rRNA from 1 species
ACGAACGCUGGCGGCGUGCCUAAUACAUGCCAGUAGAACGCACAGUUUAUACCGUAGCUUGCUACACCAUAAACUGUGAGUUGCGAACGGGUGAGUAACGCGUAGGUAACCUGCCUGGUAGCGGGGGAGAACUAUUGGAAACGAUAGCUAAUACCGCAUAAUAUUAAUUAUUGCAUGAUAAAUGAUUGAAAGAUGCAAUUGCAUCACUACCAGAUGGACCUGCGUUGUAUUAGCUAGUAGGUGAGGUAACGGCUCACCUAGGCGACGAUACAUAGCCGACCUGAGAGGGUGGUCGGCCACCCUGGGACUGGGACACGGCCCAGACUCCUACCGGAGGCAGCAGUAGGGAAUCUUCGGCAAUGGACGAAAGUCUGACCGAGCAACGCCGCGUGAGUGAAGAAGGUUUUCGGAUCCUAAAGCUCUGUUGUAAGAGAAGAACGGGUGUUAGAGUGGAAAGUUCACACUGUGACGGUAUCUUACCAGAAAGGGACGGCUAACUACGUG